UACGUAGGGGGCGAGCGUUGUCCGGAGUUACUGGGCGUAAAGGGCACGCAGGCGGUGCGUCGCGUUUCGCGUGACAGCGGAGGGCUUAACUCUCCGAGGAUGCGAAAGACGGCGGCACUUGAGGGCCAGAGAGGGACACGGAAUUCCGGGUGGAGUGGUGAAAUGCGUAGAGAUCCGGAGGAACACCGAAGGCGAAGGCAGUGUCCUGGCUGGUGACUGACGCUGAGGUGCGAAAGCUAGGGGAGCGAACGGG
rnacentral:rRNA from 1 species